rnacentral:rRNA from 1 species
UGGGGAAUAUUGCGCAAUGGGCGAAAGCCUGACGCAGCGACGCCGCGUGAGGGAUGAAGGUUUUCGGAUCGUAAACCUCUGUCAGAAGUGAAGAAAACGCACUGUGCUAAUCAGCAGUGCCUUGACGGUACCUUCAAAGGAAGCACCGGCUAACUCCGUGCCCGCAGCCGCGGUAAUACGGAGGGUGCAAGCGUUAAUCGGAAUUACUGGGCGUAAAGCGCACGUAGGCUGCUUUGUAAGUCAGGGGUGAAAUCCCACGUCUCAACCGUGGAACUGCCUUGGAUACUGCUUAGCUUGAAUCCGGGAGAGGGUGGCGGAAUUCCAGGUGUAGGAGUGAAAUCCGUAAAUAUCUGGAGGAACAUCAGUGGCGAAGGCGGCCACCUGGACCAGUAUUGACGCUGAGUUGCGAAAGCGUGGGGAGCAAACAGG